AAUCCAUUUUACAGCAAACUUGACAACUGUUUCCAAUACGGAGAAGACAACUGUUGAAACCACAUCAUCAGAUAAUUUGGUAACUAUGGCGGCUACAAAAGAGACAACAGUUCAAACCACAAUAUCAGAUGAUUUGACAACUGUGCCCACUACAGACAAGACAACAGUUCAAACCACACCAUCAGAUGAUUUGACAACUGUGGCUGCU